GACGAACGCUGGCGGCGUGCUUAACACAUGCAAGUGGAGCGACGACCCUUCGGGGGGCAAAGCCGCGAACGGGUGAGUAACACGUGGGUAACCUGCCCCGAUGACUGGGACAACCCGGGGAAACCCGGGCUAAUACCGGAUGAUGUGCACACACUUAAGUGUGUCCACUAAAGGUAGCUUCGGCUUCCGCAUUGGGAGGGGCCCGCGGCCCAUUAGCUUGUUGGUGAGGUAACGGCUCACCAAGGCAACGAUGGGUAGCUGGUCUGAGAGGACGAUCAGCCACACUGGGACUGAGACACGGCCCAGACUCCUACGGGAGGCAGCAGUGGGGAAUCUUGCGCAAUGCGCGAAAGCGUGACGCAGCAACGCCGCGUGAGGGAAGACGGCCUUCGGGUUGUAAACCUCUUUCAGUAGGGACGAAGGCCGGCCGGUGAAUAGCCGUGUCGGUUGACGGUACCUUCAGAAGAAGCUCCGGCUAACUACGUGCCAGCAGCCGCCGUAA
rnacentral:rRNA from 1 species